CCUACGGGGGGCAGCAGUGAGGAAUAUUGGUCAAUGGGCGGAAGCCUGAACCAGCCAAGUAGCGUGCAGGAUGACGGCCCUACGGGUUGUAAACUGCUUUUAUACGGGAAUAACGCGCCUUACGUGUAGGGCUUUGCAUGUACCGUAUGAAUAAGGACCGGCUAAUUCCGUGCCAGCAGCCGCGGUAAUACGGAAGGUCCGGGCGUUAUCCGGAUUUAUUGGGUUUAAAGGGAGCGUAGGCCGGGUGUCAAGUGUACUGUGAAAUGUUCGGGCUCAACCCGGGCCUUGCAGUGCGAACUGGCGUGCUUGAGUCAGAGGAGAGGAGGCGGAAUUCGUCGUG
rnacentral:rRNA from 1 species